rnacentral:lncRNA from 1 species
AAUGUUCUUCUCUUCAGGUUAUUGAGGUGGUGAUCCGCUCAGAGGAGGGGCUCUCCAGAGACAUGGUGAAACACCUAAACAGCAUUGAAGAGCAGAUUUUGGAGAGUUUAGCUUGGACUAAUAAUUCUGCACUGUGGGAAGCUCUCCGUGCUUCUGCAAAUAAAGUUCCUUCCUGUGAAGAAGUUAUAUUCCCAAAUAACUUUGAAAUAGGAAAUGGAGGAAGUGUGCAAGGCCAUCUUCCCAUGAUGCCAAUGUCUCCAAUAAUACAUCCAAGAGUCAAGGAAGUUCGCACUGACAGUGGGAGCCUUCGAAAAGAUAUGCAGCCACUGUCUCCCAUCUCCGUCCAUGAGCGCUACAGCUCCCCUGCCGCA